rnacentral:misc_RNA from 1 species
UUCUAUGCGCGCAAGGGAUAGUAGCGGAAAGCCCACAGUCCCGAUUUUUAGGGACGAGGACUUGCAGUGAAUAGCCCGACCCUGC